rnacentral:lncRNA from 1 species
GCUGCAUAUCCAAUAUGUCAGAAAGCAAAACACAAAAAACAUUAAAAAUAAGAAAGCAGAACUGCAGAUUUAUUCUAGCAGUGGAGCAAAGAUAAAUUUCUGGCUCUUGAAAAAUUGAGCUUGUCAUCAGACAAAAUAGUUGGGUCUGAAUAAAUAAAUGUUUAUGCAACAAAAUAUAGCAAAAGAUGUAUUAAAGGAAAACAACAGAAUUGAGAAAAAUAUAUCACCAAUCUAACUGCAAAUGAUUAAAAUUGGUAGAAAUGUAUAAUGUGCAGGUCUAGAUGCCUUUCCAGGAAGUGAGCAAAGGAUGAGUUCAACUGGUUUGCUCAGGAGCCAUUGUCACAGCCCAAGGGAGCCACAGUGUGGCCUAGAGUGAGCCCAGCUUCAGUAAUAAUUCAGAGUCCACACACCCAACUUGCUUGAUGAGCCUGUGCCUCUCCCUUCUUAUGGAAAAUGGAUAUUUAUAUGGUUUGGCUGUGUCCCCACCCAAAUCUCAUCUUCAAUUUCCACGUGUUGUGGGAGGGACCCAGUGGUAAUUGAAUCAUGGGGGCGGGGCUUUCUCGUGCUGUUCUUGUGAUAGUGAAUAAGUCUCACGAGAUCUGAUGGCUUUAAAAAGAGCAGUUCCCCUGCACAAGCUCUCUCUCUUUGCCUGCUGCCAUCCAUGUUGAGAUGUGACUUGCUCCUCCUUGCCUUCUGCCAUGAUUGUGAGGCUUCCCCAGUCACGUCGAACUGGAUUCUCAUGAGGACAAAUUAGAGCACCUGUCACUAUAGCCAGCACUCAAGAAAUGGGAUUAUCAUCAGAGGGAAAAAUGCACAGCCUCACCAGCUAUUAAACAUAUGGAAAUGAUGACAAUUUAAAGCUUAUAAAUAACAUUAGCGGUGGCUUGGAUUUAUUGUUGUGGCCUCCGGAAGAACUUGGGCACAGUGUAACUUCCUGGGGCCCGAGGUUGUUAAUCGGUGAAUUGUUCAUGAAGGACAGUGCUCACUGUGAAGGUGGGUGUCCUGGGAUGCUCUGCCUGGCCCGCGGGAGACAAGGCUAUGGUCUGACAUCCCUCAGCCUGUCCUCAUUGUCCUGGCUCUGAGAAGAAGCUACAAAACACAGUAGAAGAAAAAGAAAACAGUCUUUUAAAGACUUGUAAUGAGUUGUUAAUGAUAAAAGUAACACAUGCCAACUGGAAAAAUGUGAAUUUUUUAUCUCAGCCAAAAGUAUAAAGAUACUUCGAUUUCUUUAAAAACUUAUGGAAAUCUGUUGUUGUAUGCAUAGAUUGUUGAAUACAUCUCUGCUUAUUUAAACUCCUGAAAGUCUUAUCAAUGAGGUCAAAAGGCAGGAACAGGUUGUUUGUUGUUGUUGGUUAUUUGUCUUUUUGAGACAGGGUUUUGCUCUGUCACCAAGGCUGGAGUGCAGUGGCGCAGUCACAACUCAUUGCAGCCUCCAUCUCCUGGGCUCAAGCAAUCCUCCCACCUCAGCCUCUAGAGUAGCUAGGACUACAGGUGCACACCACCAUGCCUGGCUAAUUUUUUUUUUUUUGGUAGAGAUAGUGUCUUGCUAUGUUGCCCAGGCUGGUCUUGAACUCCUGGCCUCAAGCGAUCCUUCCAACUUGGCCUCCCAAAGCACAAGGAUUACAGGCAUGAGCCAUUGCACCAAGCAGAAACGUGUUUAAGGCUCUUAAAAAUUAUUAGAAAAUAUUGCUAACUUUUCUUCCAGAAAGGUUUUACCAAUGCAUGCUUUCAUCAGCAAUGUGUAGGAAGUAUUUCAUUGCAGCCUCAGCAAUACUGCAUAUAUUCAUUUCAAAAACAUAGCCAGCUUGCAAAAAAAUGUAUUUGGUGGUAGCAUUUCAUUAAUAAUGAAGUCACAGUUUUUCUAUGUACUGAUUUCUGACUUCUAUGAUUCUAUUUACUUGAAACUGUAGAACAUAUAUAGAGUUUUUUGGAUAUUUCUAUUACGUCUAUAUGUUGUUUUACUUUGUAAGUUCUUUUUUGAGACAGACUCUCACUCUGUCGCCCAGGCUGGAGUGCAGUGGUGGGAUGUCGGCUCACUGCAACCUCCGCCUCCCGGGUUCAAGAGAUUCUCCUGUCUCAGCCUCCUGAGUAGCUGGGACUACAGGCACCCACCACCACACCCAGCUAAUCUUUUUUGUACUUUUAGUAGAGACGAGUUUUCACCAUGUUAGCCAGGAUGGUCUUGAUCUCCUGACCUCGUGAUCUGCCCGCCUCAGCCUCCCAAAGUGCUGGGAUUACAGGAAUGAGCCACUGCACCUGGCCAACUUUGUAAGUUCUUUACUCAUUUUUCUUACAG